rnacentral:lncRNA from 10 species
AUCCACCCGCCUCGGCCUCCCAAAGUGCUGGGAUUACAGGCGUGAGCCACCGCGCUCGGCCAAUUUCGAAGUGUUUUCAAACUACUGCAGCCCUCUCCCAUUGCUGUGGUAACUGGAUGGAAAUGCAUCUAGCAAGAGAAAAUGUACAUAAAGAUUACCUCCCUCCCUGCUCUAGGUUUCUGCAGGUGAGAAGGUGUCGUGAUAGAAUAAUGAACAUUUCCUGUGGGGCUGGCACUGUGUUCUACAUAGAACUCAUUUAAUACAACAACCGUAUAACGAGGAAGCAAGCCAUGUGCAUCAAUUAUCAGGAACGCUUUAAUCCAACUGGGACCCCAAACAAACACCCCGUUUUAAUCCCGGGUGAAGUGAUACAAACAAUUUACAAAGCCUCACGACCCGGCAGCAACCCGAGUAAGUAGACCGUGAUCUUGCAGACAAUAAAAUGCAAGCCCGUGGUCUUACGUGAUCUGGCGAAACUCAUCUGCCUCCUAAGCUCCAACGCCACUGCUUUUCUUUCCCUGUCUCCAGCACUCAGCUCCUUCGGGUCUAUGGCAAUUGUACUUGCUGUUCCUCCUGCCUGGAUUAGUCCUACAGCUUGCCCUGACUGCAUCCUUCUCAUCAUUCAGAUCUCAACGCAAGCAUCACCUCCUUCCUCUGAGGCCUUGGCCUUCAACAUCCCAUUCCCUACCCCACAUCAUUCCAGACUGGAAGCUCUAGAGCUGGCAUUAGAACACUGUCUGGCCCACAAGCCUUCAAUACUUCAACAAAUGCUUGUUGAAUCCAAAAACGCUGAUUACCCUUCAAUCUGCCAGCUCACCCCACUCCCUCUCAAAAUACCUAGGAGAAUUAAUUUACAAAGAAAACAUAAGCAAGCGACAGCGUAACACAUCGACUCAAAACAAAGCCGGUAAUCCGGGGCUGAACUGGUCAACGGCAUUUAAAGAAGGCCCCAAGAAAACCCUUUCCUGAUCGUGCACACACUUUUCAAGAGGCGAAACCAGGGGGACAGGGCGGUCGGCGGCGCAGCGCUGCCUACCUUGAACUCCGCGGAAAGUUGGGGCGUGUAUUCGCGAGUCCAGAGCGCGCGCACCAGCGCCGCCAGCUGCUCGGUGAC